rnacentral:rRNA from 1 species
UCGAUCUCAAAUCAGGUAGGACU